rnacentral:rRNA from 1 species
UCAUGGCUCAGGACGAACGCUGGCGGCGUGCUUAACACAUGCAAGUCGAACGGAAAGGCCCCUUCGGGGGUACUCGAGUGGCGAACGGGUGAGUAACACGUGGGUGAUCUACCCUGCACUUCGGGAUAAGCCUGGGAAACUGGGUCUAAUACCGGAUAGGACCCCUCUUUAGUGUGGGGGGUGGAAAGUUUUUUCGGUGUGGGAUGAGCCCGCGGCCUAUCAGCUUGUUGGUGGGGUAAUGGCCUACCAAGGCGUCGACGGGUAGCCGGCCUGAGAGGGUGGACGGCCACAUUGGGACUGAGAUACGGCCCAGACUCCUACGGGAGGCAGCAGUGGGGAAUAUUGCACAAUGGGCGGAAGCCUGAUGCAGCGACGCCGCGUGGGGGAUGACGGCCUUCGGGUUGUAAACCUCUUUCGCUAGGGACGAAGCUUUUGUGACGGUACCUAGAUAAGAAGCACCGGCUAACUACGUGCCAGCAGCCGCGGUAAUACGUAGGGUGCGAGCGUUGUCCGGAAUUACUGGGCGUAAAGAGCUCGUAGGUGGUUUGUCGCGUCGUCUGUGAAAUUCCGGGGCUUAACCUCGGGCGUGCAGGCGAUACGGGCAAUACUUGAGUGCUGUAGGGGAGACUGGAAUUCCUGGUGUAGCGGUGGAAUGCGCAGAUAUCAGGAGGAACACCGAUGGCGAAGGCAGGUCUCUGGGCAGUAACUGACGCUGAGGAGCGAAAGCAUGGGUAGCGAACAGGAUUAGAUACCCUGGUAGUCCAUGCCGUAAACGGUGGGCGCUAGGUGUAGGGGUCUUCCACGACUUCUGUGCCGUAGCUAACGCAUUAAGCGCCCCGCCUGGGGAGUACGGCCGCAAGGCUAAAACUC